GGAAUAUGGAAAGCUUAUUUCUUUAUUGAAUGCCUAUGCACUUGUUGCAAAAGGCGUUCGGUUAGUCUGCUCCAAUGCAACCGGUAAAAAUGCAAAGUCUGUUGUACUUAAAACACAAGGAAGCGAUUCCCUUAAAGAUAACAUCAUAACAGUAUUUGGCAUGAACACUUUCAGCUGCUUAGAGCCUGUUAAUAUAUGCAUAUCAGAUGAUUGCAUGGUUGAUGGAUUCCUUUCUAGGCCUGGACAAGGCAGUGGCCGCAAUUUGGGAGAUAGGCAAUACUAUUUUGUAAAUGGUCGACCAGUGGAUAUGCCUAAAGUCGGCAAGCUUGUGAAUGAGUUAUAUAGAGGUGCAAACUCUCGCCAAUAUCCCAUUGCAAUUAUGAAUUUCACAGUUCCAACCAGAGCAUGUGAUGUGAAUGUAACUCCGGAUAAAAGAAAAAUAUUCUUUUCUGAUGAGGGUUCCAUAUUGCUCGCUUUAAGGGAGGGUUUACAGCGGUUUUAUUCCCCAAGUAAUGCCUUUUAUUCUGUCAAUAAAUUUGAUGAGCAUAUGAAGGUUACCGAUAGCUCUCAGUUAUAUUCUCCUUGUGAGAAAUCUCAUAAGUUGUCAAAACAGUUAUCUGCAAUUAGCAAUGACUCUAAAGAAAUUCACAUGGAGGACUCCACAGUGGGCGGCAGUAAUGUUGAAAUCAAAUCUCAGCUCUUGGAUUUUGGAGAAAAUGAUGAAGAUGUUGGAGAAAAUAAUGAAAUGGACUCAGUAAAGGACUUCACUCUUAGAGUACAUGGCAUUAAAAAGGCCUAUAGUUUUACAGAAAGUAAAAGUAGGCAACUAACAACUUUCCAUGAUAGUAAAAAUGCUCCAUCUCCUUCAAGAGUGUUUUUUAAAGAUAUUGCUGAAAAUAGAGAUUCUAAUAGUUUGUCACAUUCUGUUCAGUCAACGAUUAAAAAGUUUGUAACUAUAAGUAAGAGAAAGCAUGAAGAUGUUAAUACAGCACUAUCUGAAAUUCCAGUCUUGAGAAAUCAAACUCUUCAAAGUCCAUUGAAGAAAAGUAAUUCUGAGACAAAUGCUGCAGCUAAAGGUUCUCCAUUUAAUCAUCACCCCAGUAAAGAUUCUGCUGAGGUGAGUGAGAUUGAACCAUCCAAGUUUGCUAAAGCAGAAAUUAUCUUCAACAAAAUCAGGAAUUCGUCUUCUUAUGGAGGGAAGACCAACGAUGGAAAAAUUGAGGAGGAACUUCUGGGUGAAAAGAAGGCAACAACUGUGGCUGAUGUCCUGCCAAUUGCUUCUGGCAAGGAUCUUGAGAAAAUAUCUGAGGUUCUUAUAGUUACCACUCCUCCAUUACAUUCUUCCAUUUCAUUGCUAGAGACAUGAAUACAUACACUCAAUUGCAGCCUAAAUGUCUGAUAGUCUUAGUAUCACAUUGAAGGAACCUGCAGGUGAAGAAAAGGCAUUACCUCUUGCUGAUGCUGUGUUAAUCACUUCUCCCAGUGGCGGCCUUGAAAAAAUGUCUGAGGAUCUUAUGGUUGCAAGUUCUCCAUUUCAGUCUUCUGAUUCCACUUUAGAUGUUCCAAAGCCUUCUGCUGAAAAGAUAUGCUCCACCUUGCAAUUUAGUAUUCAGGAACUAAGGGCAAAAAGGCACCAGAGGCUGUCAAGAUUGCAAUUCAACAGUUGUGCAUCCAGAGGCAUGAAGAUGAACAGGUUUAGAAAGUAGAAACUUCUUUGGGAUGUUGGGAAAACAUUGCUUCUAUUCUGUUUUUAACCAGCUUUAGUUUUAAUGGUAAGACAUAGGAGUUAUGCUGCUGCAACAUUAGAGCUUUCUCAACCAGAUAAUGAGGAGCGAAAAGCAAGGGCUUUAGCUGCAGCUACUAAGGAAUUAGAAAGACUUUUCAAAAAACAAGACUUUGGAAGGAUGAAGGUUGUCAUGUGUAUUAUGUAUUUGUUUAUAUACUUACACACACUUAAAUACAAGCUUCUGAUGGGUGACAUUUGUUUCUUUCUGUUGAACUGUUAGCUUUCAACCAUGACUCUCUUGACCCACCUCUGGAAGUUAAUGCAUUGAAUUUUAACCUCUGGCUAUUAUUGACUUGGGCUUGAAUAUGAUUUCUAUUCCUGUGAAAUGAACUAACUCAAUGUGUGAAAGGUGGAUGAACUAUGAGUUUCAAUGCUGGUUGUUGCACCUUAUCGGUGCAUCUAAGUUGGGCUGGAUUGCUAAUGCUCCAUCCCCACUUAAACUUCAAGUUUUUAGUUAAUGAUCAAUGGCGUUUUUGUUUCACAGGUGAUUGGCCAAUUUAAUCUUGGAUUCAUUAUCGGGAAGUUAGAUCAAGAUUUGUUUAUUGUGGAUCAGCAUGCUGCUGAUGAGAAAUACAAUUUUGAGCGACUGUGUCAAUCAACAAUCUUGAACCAACAGCCUUUGCUGCGGUCAUUGAGGAUGGAGUUAUCUCCAGAGGAAGAAAUAAUUGCUUCAAUGAACAUGGAUGUAAUCAGGUAAAAUAUGGUUAUGCUUCUUGCCUUUAUUUAUAAUCUUUCGUGUCUUUGAAUUGUUAAUUUUAAGAAUUGAACUUUUGUAACUGUAUAUAAUCACGGAAUGUGUUCUGGCAUAUCCAAUUUAAGGAAGAAUGGAUUUACUUUGGAAGAGGAUCCACAUGCAUCUCCUGGGCACCGAUUUAAACUAAAAGCUGUUCCCUUUAGUAAGAAUGUAACUUUUGGAGUUGAAGGUAAUCCUUGUUUUGGUUUUUCUUUUCUUUUUUAAAAAUUUAUUGUGCGUUGACUAUGCUCGGCUGCAAAUACAAACUUGAAUAGUUAGAUCCAGUGAUCAUCUUCCGCUCCUAUUGAAUUGCAUCUAUAAUCUGAAUGGUUGCUCUCAUUUUCCUUGUGGUUAGAACACUGUCUCAUUGUGACAAUUCUCAACUGCUUAGAUUAACAGCAGCUCUAUAUGUUUUGUUAUAACUUUCUGUUGAUGAGCAUUAGCAUGAGUCAAUGAGCAUUUGGUUUUAUUAGGGUUGCAUUAUUGUUUAGGAUUCCUUGUUUGAUUAAGACAGUCAAUUAUUAUGCCUCAUCACAGCAAUGGUAUCAUAACUUGUAUCUGAUAAAGGUGAAAAUAUAUAACUAUAUAUUAGAUAAUUAUUGGAAUGAGUGUGGGAAAAGUUUACUAGUAUUUUUUGGAAACAGAUGUGAAGGACUUAAUCUCUACUCUUGCUGAUAGUCAAGGGGACUGCUCAAUAAUUGGUAGUUACAAAAUGGAUACCCCUGAUUCUGUCUGCCCAUCAAGAGUCCGUGCAAUGCUGGCAUCACGCGCAUGCAGAUCAUCUGUUAUGAUUGGAGAUCCACUAGGAAGGAAUGAAAUGCAGAAGAUACUUGAACAUUUGGCAGACCUGAGAUCACCUUGGAAUUGUCCCUAUGGAAGACCAACUAUGCGCCAUUUGGUAGACAUGAUGACCAUCUACAAAACAUCAGAUGAAAAUGAUGCAAGCUUGUGAUGGACCUUGAAAUGGCAGAUGAUCACCGUCAAUUCUCUUAACUUACUGUAUAGGUAUUUGUAAAUCACGCAACACCAACCUCCAACAGUCAUGGGAACUCUGGGAUCUGCUGUGGAUUGUUUAUAUCAAUUUUUUGUCUGUAAAUUAACCCUAAAAUCUGGGAAGCUGCACUAUGAUACCAUUCAUCUUGCACUAAUGUAACUGUCACGAUGUAUUAUUAUUGCCAGGAAAGGUGAUAACCUCACCUCUUCAAAUGUUGAUGUGGAAACUCAUGGGGAUAGAAAAGGAAAAAUUCGGAAAGGAAUGUCACUUGUCGACUUAUUUGCUUAAGCUUUUGACAGUCGGCUAUUUGAGGUGCAGUCUCUAUUUACGUUUCCCUACAGAAGUUCACUGUUAUCUUUUUCAACCCAUAUUCCCG
rnacentral:misc_RNA from 1 species